rnacentral:lncRNA from 1 species
GACUAGGUCAUUCUUGUGCCCUUCUUGGUGGCAGGUGAGCCCAUGACAAUGAAUGAUACCUUGCAAAUUCUUGUUUCUGUUCAUCCACUCCUACUCUCUCCUCCUGCUCAUUCACUUGGACACUUUUCUUUCAUCCCAGGCAGAUGUGCAGCAUAUAUUUCAUAUGCUGUGGAGGACUUGGGCUUCUUUGAGAAACAAUGGCAAAGUUCUGAGGAACUACAAUGAAGAGAUGGAGACAUGGAGUGAAGAGAGGAGCAUUAGGGUGGGGAGGAUUUCCUCAAGCCUUCCACACAAGCUGCUAUACUUCAAGGAGAUUUUCAUCUUCAUCUCUGACUCGCCUAUGUAG